UAUAGAUCACAAAUUCGAAAGUGUCCACGCAUAAGCGAAGGAUGGCUUCCUUCAGGGGAGCAAGAUUGUCUGGUGUAAGAAUGUCAAAAUUAUUGCGCACAAAUAACUGAACAAGAUCCUGGUCGUCUUCAACAACAGGUUUCCUGAACUUUGAAUUUUUCGUCUCCCUGACUUUUCCUGAUUCUCUUUGACCUUUUCUUCCAAAUCAACAGAAACGCAAAAAUAAAUACAGCUCAGCGCAGAGUAAUGGAACAGAUUGGUAGAGAACUGGAGGCUACAAUUUCCAGAGGAGAAAUUUACUACAGCACAGCAAAGCUCAAUAUGGAGGCAAAUUAUGCAAAAAUCACAAUCUUGCACAGGAGUUCGCAACUCUACUGGCUCUGCGUUUUCCUUCUUUUAUUUCUCCCCAAUCAAUUUCAUCUCCCUGAUUAUCCCAGGCACUUGACACCUUGAAACCAUGACCAGUCUGAUGGUUUAUUACCAUGUGGUAAAUUCCAUACACUAAAGAAAAAAAUAGAAAAACUUUCCUAUUCA